rnacentral:rRNA from 1 species
AUUGAACGCCGGCGGCAGGCUUAACACAUGCAAGUCGAGCGGGGGAAGGUAGCUUGCUACCGGACCUAGCGGCGGACGGGUGAGUAAUGCUUAGGAAUCUGCCUAUUAGUGGGGGACAACAUCUCGAAAGGGAUGCUAAUACCGCAUACGUCCUACGGGAGAAAGCAGGGGAUCUUCGGACCUUGCGCUAAUAGAUGAGCCUAAGUCGGAUUAGCUAGUUGGUGGGGUAAAGGCCUACCAAGGCGACGAUCUGUAGCGGGUCUGAGAGGAUGAUCCGCCACACUGGGACUGAGACACGGCCCAGACUCCUACGGGAGGCAGCAGUGGGGAAUAUUGGACAAUGGGGGGAACCCUGAUCCAGCCAUGCCGCGUGUGUGAAGAAGGCCUUAUGGCUGUAAAGCACUUUAAGCGAGGAGGAGGCUACUCUAGUUAAUACCUAGGGAUAGUGGACGUUACUCGCAGAAUAAGCACCGGCUAACUCUGUGCCAGCCGCCGCAGUAA